CAGUCGCCACGGGAAUACGUAGGUGGCAAGCGUUGUCCGGAAUUAUUGGGCGUAAAGGGCUCGCAGGCGGUUUCUUAAGUCUGAUGUGAAAGCCCCCGGCUCAACCGGGGAGGGUCAUUGGAAACUGGGAGACUUGAGUGCAGAAGAGGAGAGUGGAAUUCCACGUGUAGCGGUGAAAUGCGUAGAGAUGUGGAGGAACACCAGUGGCGAAGGCGACUCUCUGGUCUGUAACUGACGCUGAGGAGCGAAAGCGUGGGGAGCGAACAGGAUUAGAGACCCGCGUAGUCCCUGUCUCUUAUAC
rnacentral:rRNA from 1 species